ensembl:lncRNA
GAGAGAGUGCAAAUGAGGGCAAAGAGGGUCCCCAGGGCUGGACUUGUUCAAACCUUAGAAUAACUCACAGGAUCAAGAGGUCUAAAAUAGGAGACAGAGAACAGAACAAAAGCAAAAUCUGGAAGCAAAUUACAGAAAUGUAUUUAGUUUGUUAUUUAGUGAGAUUUUGGCUUGCUGAAAUGUCUGUAUAAGCAUUAUUAUCGAUAUAUUUGAUAAUGAGUGCCAUGCUUAGCCUACUAAUGAGUAUAAUUAAUGUAGAUCAUGCCUAUUUGGGAGUGAAGCCUGGCAUCUUCUUUUUGGAAGACUAAAGGUUUUAGUAAAAGUAGAAAUUCUGUUUUGUCUAGUAUCAAUGCUAUCAACCAAAAUUAAGGGAGUAUAAAAUAGCUAGCUAGAUAACUGAGGCUUAGUGAUGUAACUGGAUGAUUUAGUGGUUUAGAAUUUGUUGGGUUUUGGAUUUAUAGUGCCUGGGUUCAAAUCUUGGAAUUCCUACCUGAGGAACUUCAGGUAUGUACUGUUAUUACCAUCAUUUUAUGAUAAGAAGACUGAAUCUCAGAGAUCACUCUGAGGCCAAACAGUCCAGCUUCACAUUAUAAGUGAAAGUUCAUUAUGACCUAAUCCUGACCUAUCAGAGAACAAAACCACAAGAGAAUGAAUUUAUACCAUCUCUUGGCAAAAAUGGGAUCAAGGAUGAUAAGGCAAGAAGGCCCUUGCUUAUGCUGACACUGUGAACUUGGACUUUGAAGACUCCAGAACUGAGGACCUUUCCUGGAUAAGUCCUGAAGAAAGUGAUGGAAAAAGAUGCCACAGAACCAAACCUUAUUCAGCACUGUGGCUUCCUCCUCUGCUCAGCUCUCAUCUGAGUGUGCAUCCUGCCACCCAGAAGUACUAGCCUUUCCUUUCUCCUGUGUCUGGUUACAACCUGCUUCCUCACUAUAUUUUAAUAUGUUAAAUCAAAAAAUCAAAAAAUAGGAAAUGACAGACUUACCUGUGUGGCAUAUCCUAGGAAUAUCUAACUAUGGAACAUAAUUAGAAAUAACUUUUAUAAAAGUUGCAUGACUUGGAGGAGUGGAACCACUUGGAGCCCUCUGGCUGCACUGCCCCCUUGUGGGCCUCCCAGCCAGGGGUGCACCCAUGAGGAGUGGAGCCACACAGGCACCUGCAGCACCACUCCAGCCCCAGCCCUUCCCUGCGUUUGGCCUCCUGGUUGUGCCUGUACCUGGAUCCACAGCCCAGAGGCACAGCGGAGUCAUAAAGGCCAUUGUCCUGAGCUCCAGAAGAUAGAUCAGAAGUGAACAACAGAAAGAGGGUCUUUUGUCAGGCUCCUUGACAAUUCAAGCCCACUGGAAAAGUGAAGAGAAUCUCUGCAAUAAAGGCACACCAGACCACCAUAUUUGGUAAAUUGGAGGGAUCACCACCUCCUAUCAGAACCUGGACUAUCUUCAGGGGAAGAGCAGCUG